AUUGAACGCUGGCGGCAGGCUUAACACAUGCAAGUCGAGCGGAGUGAUGGUGCUUGCACUAUCACUUAGCGGAGGACGGGUGAGCAAUGCUUAGGAAUCUGCCUAUUAGUGGGGGACAACAUCUCGAAAGGGAUGCUAAUACCGCAUACGUCCUACGGGAGAAAGCAGGGGAUCACUUGUGACCUUGCGCUAAUAGAUGAGCCUAAGUCGGAUUAGCUAGUUGGUGGGGUAAAGGCCUACCAAGGCGACGAUCUGUAGCGGGUCUGAGAGGAUGAUCCGCCACACUGGGACUGAGACACGGGCCAGACUCCUACGGGAGGCAGCAGUGGGGAAGAUUGGACGAGGGGGGGAACCCUGAUCCAGCCAUGCCGCGUGUGUGAAGAAGGCCUUAUGGUUGUAAAGCACUUUAAGCGAGGAGGAGGCUCUUUUGGUUAAUACCCAAGAUGAGUGGACGUUACUCGCAGAAUAAGCACCGGCUAACUCUGUGCCAGCCGCCGCCGUAACAC
rnacentral:rRNA from 1 species